rnacentral:lncRNA from 1 species
GAGUAUGUUUGAGCAACUUAACUAUUGAAAUAUCUUUUUUUCCUUAUUCCGUUUCUCGCUUUAUCUUACCUUAUGUACCUCUUUUAGCGAUCUUAAUUAAACUUGAUACAAUUCAAUCAAAAUUAUCUAACACUUAAACAUAUAUAUUUUGUAUUCACAGAUGAAAGAAGUAGUAAGAAAUUAUAAUGUCGAGUCAACAUGGUUUAUUGAAGGAUAUAAGCCACCUGUUUCUGAAUACCUAAGCAAUGCACUGGCAACUACUACAUAUUACUACCUUGCGACAACAUCAUAUUUGGGUAUUAAGUCUGUUACGGAGCAGGAUUUUGAGUGGUUAUCAAAGAAUCCUAACCACCUGUUUCUGAAUACCUAAGUAAUGCACUAGCAACUACUACAUAUUACUACCUCGCAACAACAUCGUAUUUGGGCAUGAAGUCUGUUACAGAGCAGGAUUUUGAGUGGUUGUCAAAAAAUCCUAAAAUUCUUGAAGCUAGUGUGAUAAUAUGCCGAGUUAUUGAUGACAUAGCCACAUACAAGGUAUGAGUUGUAUCUCACAAACUUAUAUAAUUAUAUGUAAUUUAGAAAAAUAAAGUAUUGCGAUGAUAUAAAAGCUAACCCCUAAUCUAUCUACC